rnacentral:rRNA from 1 species
CUCCUACGGGAGGCAGCAGUGGGGAAUUUUGGACAAUGGGCGCAACCCUGAUCCAGCAAUGCCGCGUGAGUGAUGAAGGCCUUAGGGUUGUUAAGGUCUUUUACCCGGCUG